rnacentral:misc_RNA from 1 species
GAUGAAGAACGCAGCGAAAUGCGAUACUUGGUGUGAAUUGCAGAAUCCCGUGAACCAUCGAGUCUUUGAACGCAAGUUGCGCCCGAAGCCACUAGGCCGAGGGCACGCCUGCCUGGGCGUCACACGCCGUUGCCCCCCCAUCUACUCCUUCGGGAUUGCGGGGGGGCGGAUGAUGGCCUCCCGUGCGCCUAGCCGCGCGGUUGGCAUAAAUACCAAGUCCUCGGCGACGCACGCCACGACAAUCGGUGGUUGCGAAACCUCGGUUGCCCGUCGUGUGCGUUCGUCGCGCAUCGAGGGCUCGAAAAAAUGCUCGGCUCCGGCUGGGCUUUCAACGCGACCCCAUGUCAGGCGGGGUUACCCGCUGAAUUUAAGCAUAUCAAUAAGCGGAGGA